AUGGAAAAAACAAGAGAGUUCCAGAAAAACAUCUUUUUCUGCUUUAUUGACUAUGCCAAAGCCUUUGACUGUGUGGAUCACAAUAAACUAUGGAAAAUUCUGAAAGACAUGGGAAUACCAGACUACCUAACCUGCCUCUUGAAAAAUCUGUAUGCAGGUCAGGAAGCAACAGUUAGGACUGGACAUGGAAGAACAGACUGGUUCCAAAUAGGAAAAGAAGUAUGUCAAGGCUGUAUAUUGUCACCCUGCUUAUUUAACUUCUGUGAGGAGUACAUCAUGAGAAACGCUGGACUGGAAGAAGCACAAGCUGGAAUCAAGACUGCCGGGAGAAAUAUCAAUAACCUCAGAUAUGGAGAUGACACCACCCUUAUGGCAGAAAGUGAAGAGGAGCUAAAAAGCCUCUUGAUGAAAGUGAAAGAGGAGAGUGAAAAAGUUGGCUUAAAGCUCAACAUUCAGAAAACGAAGAUCAUGGCAUCCAGUCCCAUCACUUCAUGGGAAAUAGAAGGGGAAACAGUGGGAACAGUGUCAGACUUUAUUUUUGGGGGCUCCAAAAUCACUGCAGAUGGUGACUGCAGCCAUGAAAUUAAAAGACGCUUACUCCUUGGAAGAAAAGUUAUGACCAACCUAGACAGUAUAUUCAAAAGCAGAGACAUUACUUUGCCAACUAAGGUCCAUCUAGUCAAGGCUAUGGUUUUUCCAGUAGUUAUGUAUGGAUGUGAGAGUUGGACUGUGAAGGAGGCUGAGAGCCGAAAAAUUGAUUCUUUUGAACUGUGGUGUUGGAGAAGACUCUUGAGAGUCCCUUGGACUGCAGGGAGAUCCAACCAGUCCAUUCUGAAGGAGAUCAGCCCUGGGAUUUCUUUGGAAGGAAUGAUGCUAAAGCUGAAACUCCAGUACUUUGGCCACCUCAUGCGAAGAGUUGACUCAUUGGAAAAGACUCUGAUGCUGGGAGGGAUUGGGGGCAGGGGGAGAAGGGGACGACAGAGGAUGAGAUGGCUGGAUGGCAUCACGGACUCAAUGGACGUGAGUCUGAGUGAACUCUGGGAGAUGGUGAUGGACAGGGAGGCCUGGCAUGCUGCAAUUCAUGGGGUUGCGAAGAGUCGGACACGACUGAGCGACUGA
rnacentral:lncRNA from 1 species